rnacentral:rRNA from 1 species
GAUGAACGCUAGCUACAGGCUUAACACAUGCAGGUCGAGGGGAAACGACAUCGAAAGCUUGCUUUUGAUGGGCGUCGACCGGCGCACGGGUGAGUAACGCGUAUCCAACCUGCCCAUCACUUGGGAAUAACCUUGCGAAAGUAAGACUAAUACCCAAUGAUAUCCCACGAAGGCAUCGGAAUGUGAUUAAAGAUUUAUCGGUGAUGGAGGGGGAUGCGUCUGAUUAGCUGGUUGGCGGGGUAACGGCCCACCAAGGCAACGAUCAGUAGGGGUUCUGAGAGGAAGGGCCCCCACAUUGGAACUGAGACACGGUCCAAACUCCUACGGGAGGCAGCAGUGAGGAAGAUUGGUCAAUGGGAGAGAGCCUGAACCAGCCAAGUAGCGUGCAGGAAGACGGCCCUAUGGGUUGUAAACUGCUUUUAGAAGGGAAUAAAGUGGGUCACGUGUGACUUUUUGCAUGUACCUUAUGAAUAAGGACCGGCUAAUUACGUG